UACGGAGGGUGCAAGCGUUAUCCGGAUUUACUGGGUUUAAAGGGUGCGUAGGUGGGUGAAUAAGUCAGUGGUGAAAUCUCCGGGCUUAACUCGGAAACUGCCAUUGAUACUAUUUGUCUUGAAUAUCCUGGAGGUGAGCGGAAUAUGUCAUGUAGCGGUGAAAUGCUUAGAUAUGACAUAGAACACCUAUUGCGAAGGCAGCUCACUACGGGAUUAUUGACACUGAGGCACGAAAGCGUGGGGAUCAAACAGG
rnacentral:rRNA from 1 species